rnacentral:rRNA from 1 species
CUUCGGAGCUAGAGACCGGCGCACGGGUGCGUAACGCGUAUGCAAUCUACCUUUUACAGAGGGAUAGCCCAGAGAAAUUUGGAUUAAUACCUCAUAGUAUAUAGCCCUGGCAUCAGGAUUAUAUUAAAGUCACAACGGUAAAAGAUGAGCAUGCGUCCCAUUAGCUAGUUGGUAAGGUAACGGCUUACCAAGGCUACGAUGGGUAGGGGUCCUGAGAGGGAGAUCCCCCACACUGGUACUGAGACACGGACCAGACUCCUACGGGAGGCAGCAGUGAGGAAUAUUGGACAAUGGGCGCAAGCCUGAUCCAGCCAUGCCGCGUGCAGGAUGACGGUCCUAUGGAUUGUAAACUGCUUUUAUACGAGAAGAAACACUCCGACGUGUCGGAGCUUGACGGUAUCGUAAGAAUAAGGAUCGGCUAACUCCGUGCCAGCAGCCGCGGUAAUACGGAGGAUCCAAGCGUUAUCCGGAAUCAUUGGGUUUAAAGGGUCCGUAGGCGGUUUAAUAAGUCAGUGGUGAAAGCCCAUCGCUCAACGGUGGAACGGCCAUUGAUACUGUUAGACUUGAAUUAUUAGGAAGUAACUAGAAUAUGUAGUGUAGCGGUGAAAUGCUUAGAGAUUACAUGGAAUACCAAUUGCGAAGGCAGGUUACUACUAAUUGAUUGACGCUGAUGGACGAAAGCGUGGGUAGCGAACAGGAUUAGAUACCCUGGUAGUCCACGCCGUAAACGAUGGAUACUAGCUGUUGGAAGCAAUUUCAGUGGCUAAGCGAAAGUGAUAAGUAUCCCACCUGGGGAGUAC